rnacentral:rRNA from 1 species
ACACGGGGGGCGCAAGCGUUAUUCGGAAUUAUUGGGCGUAAAGGGCGUGUAGGCGGUUUUAUCGGUCAGAUGUGAAAGCCCAGGGCUCAACCCUGGACGUGCAUUUGAAACAGUAAGACUUGAGUACGGUAGAGGAAAGCGGAAUUCCUGGUGUAGAGGCGAAAUUCGUAGAUAUCAGGAGGAACACCGAUGGCGAAGGCAGCUUUCUGGACCGAAACUGACGCUGAUGCGCGAAGGCGUGGGUAGCGAACAGGAUUAGAAACCCCGGUAGUCC